GAUGAACGCUGGCGGCGUGCCUAAUACAUGCAAGUCGAGCGAACGGACGAGAAGCUUGCUUCUCUGAUGUUAGCGGCGGACGGGUGAGUAACACGUGGAUAACCUACCUAUAAGACUGGGAUAACUUCGGGAAACCGGAGCUAAUACCGGAUAAUAUUUUGAACCGCAUGGUUCAAAAGUGAAAGACGGUCUUGCUGUCACUUAUAGAUGGAUCCGCGCUGCAUUAGCUAGUUGGUAAGGUAACGGCUUACCAAGGCAACGAUGCAUAGCCGACCUGAGAGGGUGAUCGGCCACACUGGAACUGAGACACGGUCCAGACUCCUACGGGAGGAAGCAGUAGGGAAUCUUCCGCAAUGGGCGAAAGCCUGACGGAGCAACGCCGAGUGAGUGAUGAAGGUCUUCGGAUCGUAAAACUCUGUUAUUAGGGAAGAACAUAUGUGUAAGUAACUGUGCACAUCUUGACGGUACCUAAUCAGAAAGCCACGGCUAACUACGUG
rnacentral:rRNA from 1 species